rnacentral:snRNA from 1 species
UUUUUGGAUUUAGAUUUUAGA